CUAUUCUCUAUUCAUCUUCCCGGUAGCAAGGACUCCAGACAGGAGCAUGGCCCUAGACUGCUUGUGGUGGCGUCAACUUGACCAAAAGUUAGAUUCACCUGGGAGACAGGCCUCUGGACACACCCACGGGGCAUGAGGCUGGAGCUCUGCCUCUCAUCUCUGGGACAGGACACACAAGCCAGAGCUGAAGCAUCUCCAGGAUGCUCUGUGGACUCUGUAUGCUGUGUGCUGAAUAGCUCCCAACUGUAUUGUGAACCCCACAGGAACAGAAGCUUUUGCCUGUUUUGCUCAAACUUCUAAAGUGUACCAGGCACAUAAUGGCUGGGACAUCAGGCUUAUCCUGGCCCGGAAGUCCCCAGAGGACAGGGAACACAGCGGUGUGAACUCAGCAUGAAAUGACAUGGGUCUGGAGUGACAGCUGUGCCAUUGACAUCCUGGGGCCUGCUAGGAUGGAGGGAGAUGGCAACAAGGUGUGGGGCUUAUGACCCCAUUUUCUUCCCUGCAACAUGGCGGGGUUCUACAGCAACUAGGCUGAGCUUGGAUGGUGUACAGUCACCACAGUGAGUCCUGGUGGUAGACAGAAAGGCCAGGGGAUGAGAGAAGGGCAUGACCUACAGACACGUAGGGUCCAAAUCCUGACACGGCCUGGAGCUGCGAGUCUUCAGACAGGUGUCAGAGCCUCUCAGGGCCUCAGGUUUUUCCUUACAAGAGUAAGCAGACCACUGUUGAAGAGUCACACUGUGUUCACAACGGACUUUGUGUAAGA